GGGAACAUACCCUUUUCUACGGAAUAGCUCUGGGAAACUGGAAUUAAUACCGUAUACGCCCUACGGGGGAAAGAUUUAUCGGGGAAGGAUUGGCCCGCGUUGGAUUAGCUAGUUGGUGGGGUAAAGGCCUACCAAGGCGACGAUCCAUAGCUGGUCUGAGAGGAUGAUCAGCCACAUUGGGACUGAGACACGGCCCAAACUCCUACGGGAGGCAGCAGUGGGGAAUAUUGGACAAUGGGCGCAAGCCUGAUCCAGCCAUGCCGCGUGAGUGAUGAAGGCCUUAGGGUUGUAAAGCUCUUUCACCGAUGAAGAUAAUGACGGUAGUCGGAGAAGAAGCCCCGGCUAUCUUCGUGCCAGCAGCCGCGGUAAUACGAAGGGGGCUAGCGUUGUUCGGAAUUACUGGGCGUAAAGCGCACGUAGGCGGAUAUUUAAGUCAGGGGUGAAAUCCCAGAGCUCAACUCUGGAACUGCCUUUGAUACUGGGUAUCUUGAGUAUGGAAGAGGUAAGUGGAAUUGCGAGU
rnacentral:rRNA from 1 species